AGAGAGAGAGAGAAAGAGAAAGAGUGAAGGAGAAGGAUAGAGAGAAAUAUAAGGAUCGAGAAAAAGAGAGGGAAAUUGAUAAAGAUAGAGAUAGGGAAAAAGCAAGAGACAAGGCUAAGGAGAGGGAAAGAGAAGCGGAUCAUGAUAAGGAAAGGUUGAGAGAGAAAGAUAAGUUGAGCAGAAGAAGCCAUGGCGAAGACUAUGACAGAAGCAAGGAUGAUGUAGUUGAAAUGAGCUAUGAAAAUGACAAGGACAGAGAUGUUUUAAAGCAAGCAAAUGCUUCUUUUGAUGAUGAUCACGAGCAAAAGGUUGAAGGUAUAUCUGGUGGAGGAUAUGCAUCUGCCUUAGAACUUGAGGGGCGCAUUUUGAAGAUGAAAGAAGAAAGAUUAAAGAAAAAUUCAGAAGUUGGCAAUGAGGUUUUAGCAUGGGUUAAUAGGAGUCGUAAGCUUGAGGAGAAAAAGAGUGCCGAAAAGGAGAAAGCCAAGCAGCUUUCAAAGAUUUUUGAGGAGCAGGUUAUUUUAUUCUUAAUUGCAUUAUGUUACUGGAUAUCUUUUAUUUAAUGUGAUUAUGAUUGUUGAUGUUGUGAUAUAAAUAUCAGGACAAUAUUGUUCAAGGAGAAAGUGAAGAUGAGGAGGGAACUGAGCAUGCUACUCGUAUGGUUUCUUCUUAAUAACUGCUAGUCAUUCAACAAGUUGUUAUGAAAGCCAAAUUUGACUUAGAACCACUCACUUCAUAUUUUUAUUAGAUCACGCAAGUUGAGUAUAAUUGUUGCUUUACUCAUUAUAAUUUCAUUAUUAAAAAGUCAAUGAGCAAAAAACAUUUCCAGGCAUGUGUUUAUUGUUCUUAAUGAGUGCAGAUACUCAUAGCUCACCGAUAUAAUUUCUCAGGAAUUUGGAGUCGAGCAUAGGGGUGUGAUUCAUGAAACCCAAUUUCAUGUUAUAUUUUUAAUCUCUUUUAUCUAUGUUCAUAUUCAAAUGUUACAGCUUGUACAUUUCUAAUCUAGCUGAAUUUCCUAGUUAUAUUUAGCUGGAAAUAUUGGUUCAUCCUGUCAGAUUGAUUUAUUUUCAUGAUGAAAACCUGUUAACAGAUGAUCUAGCUGGAGUUAAAGUUCUUCAUGGCAUUGAAAAGGUAAUGGAAGGUGGAGCAGUUGUCUUGACACUCAAAGACCAGAGCAUACUUGCGGAUGGCAGCAUUAAUGAAGAGGUUGACAUGCUUGAAAAUGUGGAAAUUGGAGAGCAGAAGCGCCGGGAUGAGGCUUAUAAGGCUGCAAAGAAAAAGACAGGGAUAUAUGAUGAUAAGUUCAAUGACGAUCCUGCUUCAGAGAAGAAAAUCCUUCCACAAUAUGAUGAUUCAACUACGGAUGAGGGAGUAACUCUUGAUGAAAGGGGACGGUUCACUGGUGAAGCUGAGAAAAAAUUGGAAGAGCUCCGUAGAAGGUUACAAGGUUCUUCCACAAAUAAUCGCUUUGAAGAUCUAAAUGCCUCUGGAAAAAUCUCAUCAGAUUACUAUACGCAAGAAGAGAUGCUUCAAUUUAAGAAGCCCAAGAAAAAAAAGUCCUUGCGGAAAAAGGAGAAAUUGGAUAUAAAUGCCCUUGAAGCAGAAGCUGUCUCUGCAGGAUUGGGUGUUGGAGAUCUUGGUUCUCGAAGUGAUGGAAGAAGGCAGGCAAUUAGGGAGGAACAAGAGAGAUCUGAAGCAGAAAUGAGAAGUAAUGCAUAUCAGUCUGCGUAUGCUAAAGCAGAUGAGGCUUCUAAAUCGCUGCGACUGGAGCAAACUCUUACUGCUAAAGUUGAUGAAGAUGAAAAUCCAGUGUUUGCAGAUGAUGAUGAGGAUCUUUAUAAAUCCUUAGAAAGAGCUAGGAAAUUAGCUCUCAAAAAGCAAGAGGAAGCAUCUGGUCCUCAAGCAAUUGCUCGCCUAGCUGUCAACACCACCACAAGCAGUCACGUUGCAGAUGAUAACCUUACAACUGCUGAGUCACAAGAAAACAAGAUUGUCUUUACAGAGAUGGAAGAGUUUGUGUGGGGUCUCCAACUGGAUGAAGAGGCCCAUAAGCCUGACAGCGAUGAUGUUUUCAUGGAUGAGGAUGAAGCACCUCCAAGAACUUCUGAACAAGAAAGAAAAGAUGAAGCUGGUGGAUGGACAGAAGUUAAAGAUACUGAUAAUGAUGAAAACCCUGUCAAUGAGAAUCAGGAGGAUAUAGUUCCAGAUGCAACCAUUCAUGAAGUUCCAGUUGGUAAAGGACUGUCUGGUGCAUUGAAUUUGCUCAAAGAGCGAGGAACACUUAAAGAAAGUAUUGAAUGGGGUGGUAGAAACAUGGACAAGAAAAAGAGUAAACUUGUUGGUAUAGUAGAUAAUAAUGUUGACAAUGACAAAUUUAAGGACAUUCGAAUUGAGAGGACCGAUGAAUUUGGGCGUAUUGUAAGUAGUCGAUCAUCUGCUUGCUUUCUAAUUACUGGCAUUGACCUAUAGUUUAUGCUAUUUGUUGUUUAGCUAUUGUGGGUGAGGUACAGAGAUAGGUCGAUUUAUUGGGCAAAUCUGAUGAGGGAAUGUACAUGAAAUUUCUGUAGUGUAAAAUGUUUUGGUGGAUUUCUUUGAAUGAACAGUUAUUAUCCUUGCAUAGAAUCAGUUGAUUAGAAGAUGCUGGUCAUAUGACAUGGAUCAUUUUGGGCCUUGAGAGUAGGAGUGUUCAGGUACUAAAUUUGGGCACUAGUUUGAGGUGUGGUUCUAAGAACUAUUACAGGUAGCUGGGAGUGAUUGCUUUAGAGAUUGUAGAAAACAUUAACUAUCACAUGGUUCUUCUGAAAUAUCACAUGUAAUGAAUAUAAAGUUUUCUGUUUCUUAUUUGUAAUAGAUGCCCAAGAAGCAGAAAAAGUGAAAGACCAACCAGUAAAGUUAAAUUGGUUAUUUGGUUAGAUAAUUCCUCUUAGGUUGCGUCCCACUGCCCAAGUGUGAAUUUGUGUCACUACCAAUAUGAUGUACAUUUUUUAAAAUUUUGUGAUAUCUAAUAGUUUUUAAUGAAUUAUUAUUCUUUUGAACCAGAUAACUCCCAAAGAGGCCUUUAGGAUGAUUUCUCAUAAAUUCCAUGGAAAAGGGCCCGGCAAAAUGAAGCAAGAAAAGCGCAUGAAGCAAUAUCAGGAAGAACUGAAGUUGAAGCAAAUGAAGAAUUCAGAUACACCAUCAUUGUCUGUUGAGCGGAUGAGGGAAGCCCAGGCUCAGUUGAAAACACCUUACCUCGUCCUUAGCGGUCAUGUGAAGCCAGGGCAAACAAGUGAUCCCAGAAGUGGUUUUGCAACUGUUGAGAAGGAUCUUCCAGGGGGCCUAACACCCAUGCUUGGUGACAAAAAGGUCAGUCUUAUUGCAUCACUCUGAAAUCCAUGGGUAUAAUUUGCUAGCAAAUUGUUGAGAUGUUACUGUGGAGAUUUGUCUAGAGGCUUGAGGAAUGGGUGGAGAGGUGUUUUGGGUUAAACCAGGGAAUAAACGAGACUACCAUAGCUACAAGUUAGGGGAUGGAUUAGUCUUUGUUGCAAAGUUUGGGAUGGAUCUGGAUUGGCUUCGCUUUUCUGUGGUUGGUUUCAGAUGCUAAGCGAGAGUUUAAAGCAAUUCUCACAAUUUAUCACCAAAUACAGAUUUUAGUUUCUUUUUCUCACAAAUGAACGCCCAUUUUUAUUUUGUACAAUUUUCUUUUACUUUCUUUUCAUUUUGUCUUAUUGGUUUCAUUCUGUAUUUUCUCCUUGUUUUUUUCCCACUCUUCAUAUGCAGAUAAUCCAUCCUUUUUUUGUCAGGUUGAGCACUUUUUGGGAAUAAAACGCCAGGCUGAGCCUGGGAACUCCGGCACACCAAAGAAGCCUAGAACUUGAAGGGGCCAUGGAAAUUUUUUACUGUUAUGUGGGUGAGAUUGAAGUUGUUCGGAAAACAAUUGAUAAUGAACUUAAUCAGUAUAUUUGACGCUGAAACUGUAGCAUCCUAUCCUAUUGUGACAUAGCAAAAGCACUGGCCUGGUUUUGUGAUGGAAAUUUUUUUACUAUCUGUUUGUGCUUCUUGCCUAAUGAUGAACUUGGCAGUUUGUAAGGUGGAAAUUGUGAAUGAUAAAUUCUUUAAUAAUUUUGAUUAAAUUACUAUCCAAAUUAGAUCAUAGAGAAUUGCUAGGCUCAAUUCGGUAAUGGAUCUAGACUGUUGAUUCAUUUGGUGUUUAUCAUUGAACGCUGGUCUUCGUGUGUUUGGGAGUUAUGAUGUUUACUAUUUAUCCACCUGUUGGUAGCGCCAAGGUGAUAUGACCUUGCUUUUCUGAUGUAUCAAAAAAGAUGCAUAAAAAGUUAAACAGUAAUGGCCG
rnacentral:misc_RNA from 1 species